GAUGAACGCUGACGGCGUGCCUAAUACAUGCAAGUCGAGCGAACGGACGAGAAGCUUGCUUCUCUGAUGUUAGCGGCGGACGGGUGAGUAACACGUGGAUAACCUACCUAUAAGACUGGGAUAACUUCGGGAAACCGGAGCUAAUACCGGAUAAUAUUUUGAACCGCAUGGUUCAAAAGUGAAAGACGGUCUUGCCGUCACUUAUAGAUGGAUCCGCGCUGCAUUAGCUAGUUGGUAAGGUAACGGCUUACCAAGGCAACGAUGCAUAGCCGACCUGAGAGGGUGAUCGGCCACACUGGAACUGAGACACGGUCCAGACUCCUACGGGAGGCAGCAGUAGGGAAUCUUCCGCAAUGGGCGAAAGCCUGACGGAGCAACGCCGCGUGAGUGAUGAAGGUCUUCGGAUCGUAAAACUCUGUUAUUAGGGAAGAACAUAUGUGUAAGUAACUGUGCACAUCUUGACGGUACCUAAUCAGAAAGCCACGGCUAACUACGUG
rnacentral:rRNA from 1 species